GUGCCAGCAGCCGCGGUAAUACGUAGGUGGCAAGCGUUGUCCGGAUUUAUUGGGCGUAAAGCGAGCGCAGGCGGUUUCUUAAGUCUGAUGUGAAAGCCUUCGGCUCAACCGAAGAAGUGCAUCGGAAACUGGGAAACUUGAGUGCAGAAGAGGACAGUGGAACUCCAUGUGUAGCGGUGAAAUGCGUAGAUAUAUGGAAGAACACCAGUGGCGAAGGCGGCUGUCUGGUCUGUAACUGACGCUGAGGCUCGAAAGCCUGGGUAGCAAACAGGAUUAGAUACCCUGGUAGUCCAUGCCGUAAACGAUGAGUGCUAGGUGUUGGAGGGUUUCCGCCCUUCAGUGCCGCAGCUAACGCAUUAAGCACUCCGCCUGGGGAGUACGACCGCAAGGUUGAAACUCAAAGGAAUUGACGGGGGCCCGCACAAGCGGUGGAGCAUGUGGUUUAAUUCGAAGCAACGCGAAGAACCUUACCAGGUCUUGACAUCCUUUGACCACUCUAGAGAUAGAGCUUUCCCUUCGGGGACAAAGUGACAGGUGGUGCAUGGUUGUCGUCAGCUCGUGUCGUGAGAUGUUGGGUUAAGUCCCGCAACGAGCGCAACCCUUAUUACUAGUUGCCAGCAUUUAGUUGGGCACUCUAGUGAGACUGCCGGUGACAAACCGGAGGAAGGUGGGGACGACGUCAAAUCAUCAUGCCCCUUAUGACCUGGGCUACACACGUGCUACAAUGGAUGGUACAACGAGUUGCGAGACCGCGAGGUUUAGCUAAUCUCUUAAAACCAUUCUCAGUUCGGAUUGUAGGCUGCAACUCGCCUACAUGAAGCCGGAAUCGCUAGUAAUCGCGGAUCAGCAUGCCGCGGUGAAUACGUUCCCGGGCCUUGUACACACCGCCCGU
rnacentral:rRNA from 1 species